rnacentral:rRNA from 1 species
AGCGAACGUUAGCGGCGGGCCUAACACAUGCAAGUCGAGCGAGAAAGGGGCUUCGGCCCUGAGUAAAGCGGCGGACGGGUGAGUAACACGUAGGUAAUCUUCCCUUGAGCGGGGGACAACGGUCCGAAAGGACCGCUAAUACCGCAUACGUUUCCGAGGACCCUGGUCCUUGGAAGGAAAGCUAGGCCGCAAGGUCCGGCACUCGAGGAGGAGCCUGCGUCGCAUCAGCUAGUUGGGGGGGUAAUGGCCUACCAAGGCGAAGACGCGUAGCUGGUCUGAGAGGAUGAUCAGCCACACUGGGACUGAGACACGGCCCAGACUCCUACGGGAGGCAGCAGUGGGGAAUAUUGGACAAUGGGCGCAAGCCUGAUCCAGCCACGCCGCGUGAGUGAUGAAGGCCUUCGGGUCGUAAAGCUCUGUGGGGAGGGACGAACCGCUGCACGUGCAUAGCGUGCAGCAUGACGGUACCUCCUUAGCAAGCACCGGCUAACUUCGUGCCAGCCGCCGCCGUAAAAC